rnacentral:rRNA from 1 species
UACGUAGGGCGCAAGCGUUAUCCGGAAUUAUUGGGCGUAAAGAGCUCGUAGGCGGUUUGUCGCGUCUGCCGUGAAAGUCCGGGGCUCAACUCCGGAUCUGCGGUGGGUACGGGCAGACUAGAGUGAUGUAGGGGAGACUGGAAUUCCUGGUGUAGCGGUGAAAUGCGCAGAUAUCAGGAGGAACACCGAUGGCGAAGGCAGGUCUCUGGCAUUAACUGACGCUGAGGAGCGAAAGCGUGGGUAGCGAACAGG